rnacentral:lncRNA from 1 species
ACUUAGUUCUCCUCUUUAACCCCUUCGAAGCAUGAGUGAAAUAUAAAGGUGUGUGUUCCAAUAAACUUUAUCCUCUUGAUUGAUGUAAUAAUAAUAAUAAUAAUAAUAAUAAUAAUAAUAAUAUUUGAUGUACGGAGAUUAAGUAACUUACCAAAAGAGUACCACGUGUCGUUGCACAGUUGGGGCUCUAUUUAUGGGCCGGGCCGCAAGAUAGAUAAAGCCAGCGAGGCAUUCCGAUCUGUACCCCACUCGUCGUGAAAGACGAGCGAAAACCAUGGCGGCGAUCGCGCACUCCAUCGGUGGCCCCGAGAGCGCACAAGCGCGAUCAGCGCUGACAGAGGACGGUGGCGCCGGUCGGGAGCCACGUCUUCCGUGGUGGUCAGGAUCUUAAGCAAGCCGUCACCGCCGCCGCUGCCGAGGACCUCAACAGAAGUUUGUCGACGCCGCAGACUCUUCUUUCCAGACCAUGGUUGAUUGAAGGUGUGAUUUCUGCCUCGACAAUCGUUUGACAUCUCUAAUUUAAUCUCUGCAAAACAAGGAUUCAAAUGGGUUAUAAGAAUUGGGGUACCACUGUGUUGAAUUUGAAUUUUAGGUUUAUCGAGUUGAUUGUCCCGAGGAUGGGACGUCAGGAUUCUUAGCUAUCUUAGAUGAUAAGCGCAUUUGAUUGCUAGAGACUGAUAGGUAUACUAUUAAUUUAGGCCUAACUCUUUUGUCGUCGCAUGGAAUGAAUGUGUCGUGAAGUUUUUCUGGUUCAAAAGCAAGUGUUUUUUGUCUCAUUCUAUUUGUAUUUCGUGUUCCUCAUCAUGAUAUUGCUGUUGAGAACAUAGAGUUGCAUGUCUGUAUGUUGAUGGAAUGGAGAACAAUCUGUAUGAAGUUUUUCUGGUUCAAAAGUAAGUUUUUUUAUCUCAUUCUAUUUGUAUUUGGUGUUCCUCAUUAUGAUAUUACUGUUGAGAACAUAGAGUUGCAUGUCUGUAUGCUGAUGGAAUGGAGAACAAUCUGUAUGAAGCUUUUUCUGGUUCAAAAGUAAGCUUUUUUAUCUCAUUCUAUUUGUAUUUGGCGUUCCUCAUUAUGAUAUUACUGUUGAGAACAUAAGAGUUGCAUGUCUGUAUGUUGAUGGAAUGGAGAACAAUCUGUAUGAAGCUUUUCUGGUUCAAAAGUAAGCUUUUUUUCCUCAUUCUAUUUGUAUUUGGUGUUCCUCAUUAUGAUAUUACUGUUGAGAACAUAGAGUUGCAUGUCUGUUUGUUGAUUGAAUGGAGAACAAUCUGUACCUAUCUCUCUUUCUACUUCCAUUUGUCUUUACAUUUACAGAGAAUAUCAAUCCGAUCUUACUUUGACUAGUUUGACUUAGAGUUGAAUGCUUAAAAGAAAAUAUAAUUCUUCCAAUAGAUGCCUCUUAAAAGUAGCUUGCAUUGGUUUGGUAUUGUUUGUAUUUCAGCAAGAGCCAAUUUGUAGCUCCUCAUGAAAUCUGAGAUAAGUGCCACUGAUAUAUAAAGUGGAUGAUUGUUUACAUCAAACUUAAUGGCACAAGAAAUGUUCUACAACUAUCGAAUAAAACUUUGUGAUGUGAAAGCUGUACAAAAUUUCUUUUUGAAUUUGAAGUCUCCCUCCACCAUCUUUUUCAUGCUUUAGGUUAUAGCUGAGCAUUAUUCUUGUAGUGAUGACACCAUUUUGUCAUGCUCAUGAUAAUAUUCAUCUUAUUAAGUUGAGGUUUGGCUGCAUGCACUAUCUACUCUGUUUGCUUGUUCUGUAUUGAUAAUUUGUGUUUCCUGUUUACAUGUAUUAAACUCUAUUAUCAUCUUUCACAAUUGUCACUGGAGAUAACUUUCAUAAUUGAAGUAAUAUAUGACCCAAAACUGUUGGUGCUGAGAUGAGUAGAUAAACAUGGCAAGUUUAUGGUGGCAACCAUGAGGACCAUUACCUUACCUAGCAGAAGUUAGAAGAAUCUACUGGAUCCUUCAACUUUGCACAAUGAUUAAAUAUGAUUACCUCACUCCUACCUGAAUGUGCCCACAUUUGUGUCUGCAG